CACAGCCCUGAGGAGCUUAUUCCACUUCAGUCCCUCUCUUGCCUGGGGAAAGAAAUGACUGCAUCCCUUAAACCCCGGGCCAAAACCGCUCAGAGGACAUGAAGAUGUUCCAGCUGCUGGACCUGCAGCUGCUCCUGGGUUGGGGGAGCAAACAGAGGCCUGCCUGAUGCUGCAUGACUACAACGAAAAGCCUUUGGGCAACAGUUUUCACACAGCUGCGUUGUGUGUCACAACAAGAACACGGACCAGAUUCUAAAGGAGAACAGAUUUUGCCCUUGCGAUGAGUUAGCAAUGUGGUGGCACAGCAAUGGGCAGAAGCAAAACCAACACAGCGACCCUGGAUGACAUCAACUCGGCAAGUGGAAAAAAGAGGUCCUGGUCCCUCAGGUCAACAGGCAGGACUGUGAUUCACAGAGAGCUAUGUCCAUUUUUAUACCCUCCGUUUCAAAGUCAAACCACACCUCAAAAUAGAAACUGCAACUUCGACUUAACCCGUCCGAAAUCCAGAUGAAGGAAGGCUCUCAGUGCCAUGUACUAACCACCAGUGGAUUCAAGUGCAGUGGGAAGAAGGAAACAGUAAUGUUGAUUCAAUGUUAACAUGUGCACUUGCCCAAGCCAAACAAAACAUGUACUUUUGAUUUCACGUUAAACAGUGCUGAAGGGAUCAUUCAGCUUCUUGUUGUGUGGCUUUUUUUUUUUUUCUUAAUCAUUCUACAGUUGUCAAGAAUAUCUGAUUUAUUUAUUUAUCCUCUAAGCAAUGCUAAACUCAGUGCCAAGAACGAAAGCUCACUGAUUAAUCAUGGAGACAAAAUGCUUAGUAAUUUGUCUGGUGUCAUAGCCAGUUAGGCUGGAAAAAAUAAGAAAAUCAGCUGAAGACGGAUAGCUACCAGCCAACAAAUGAGGGGGAGAGAACUGAUGUGAAAACAGACAGUACUUGCUUAUUAGAUAGACAUCAAGUUCACAUUUUCUAGCUUAUCCACGUGGGAAAUGGAUGACUGACUGCAACUGGAGCGUCUCCUAAAAUGGUCUGAUUUUCAUGGACUGCUGAGAAACUAUUCAUCCUACUGAUGUCCUGAAACCAAACACAGAUUUCAGACUCCUGCCUUCUAGGUGCGCAUGUUUGGCAAUACAAGCCAACAGGUCAGUUUACAAGAAAAUCUCAGCAAACAUAUCCUCAGUAAAUGCCACAAUACUUCAAGCGUGAAAAAAAAUGUGGGCUGCAUGUUUAGCUGGUCAUUGACCAGGGUGAACACUUCAGCUACACAGAACUGGAUUCUUCCCUGCCUUUUUCCCCCAGCAAAAACACUGAAAUCAAAAAGAAUGUUUAAACUCAGUGCUGGGGAAAACCAUCCGAUGGCUCAAGUAUGGGAAAUCAUCAUCUCUUUUCUUGCAAAGAAGAGACAACUCCUACGACUACAUUUCCCAUGAGACUGCAUGCUCACCAUGAGGGCACCAAGCGUUUGGGGCAGGUGGCCCUGCAGGCUUGUCCCAAAGGAAGCACCAGCUUCACCAAUGGGACGUGUGCUCCCACACCUCCUGCCACCACAGCUGCAGCUGCCUCCAUCCCCAUGUCGGACCCACCGCCGCCUCAGCUGCGAGCGCUGGAAACUCCACUGCUUGGCACCAGGGAACUUCACAUGAGCAAUCCUGACAGGGCCACUGGAUCACCUCCAGGGGAGCAGCACUUUAAGGGCUAAAAAUACACGAGCAUGAUGCAACGCCGAUGUGCAGAUUUGAGCUGGUUUGAGGUUUUGGUUUUUAAAAGUCAUCGCACUUUGUAGUGCUUGCAAUCAUUUGCAGCACUUUUUGUGGUUUCUUUUUUCAUGUAUGGAUUUUUUUCACAAUUAUGCUUCUUGUUUUAUACAGCGUGAUGCCAGAAAACUGGUAGAAAAUGUAGUUCCAUUUUCUACAAGCAGAUAUACAUUGUUGUCACUAAUAAAAGUGACACUGUCAAUCUAUUUUAUUGCAGUUUAGUGAAGGGUUUUCAACCUGAAGCAAUCAAAAACUAGGCUGGGGACCUAUAAAGCAAAGCUCCUUGGCUUACAUUGCAAAUAGUUUUACAUCAACAGAUGAUAAAAAGAUACAGGGAGCAGUUUUUCCCCACAACUUGGUCAAUUUGCUUAAAAUUUGAGAAAAGCCUUAAAGUCCCAAAAUGCAAUCAGAUGUGCUAAGCCCUAUCAGCCAGGGAGUGAUCCUCCCACCUGCUUCCAGUGCAGAAUGACUCUGCAGCGCUACUUUUCCUCCAUGCCAAUCACCUGAUUAAUGUGAAGGGAGUAAAGACCUCAUACAUGUAUACAGGCACAUCUGCAUUGAGGUAAGGUUGGGACAAAUGAGUAAAUACGUACUUCUGAGAGAGGUCAGGCACCAUAAAUUAUCCAUGGCCACGCGAACUCUGUGGGGGUAUUUCCCCACCCCUUUUAGAAGGUUUAUGUUGGAUUGUGAGCUGUGUUUCAGCAAUAUUUCCAAUCACAUUAAAGCACAUAUAUAAAUAAAUUGUGGAUUUUCUGUUUUCCAACGUUACAUGCUGUGCUACUCUGUUAUCUUGGACAGUAGGACUUUGCUGUUAACAUAAAUACUUACUCAAAAAGCAUUUAUUCAAACUCUACAUUUUUUAAAGUAGAGGUAAUUUAUUUUCUGAAAAGUAGCAUAUUCAGUGGCUGAUGAGAAUAACAAGGUCUAAAAAUGAAGAACAAGCAGGAUCACAACUUUGGUUUAGAAAUUUAUGAGGAUCCCUACACUGUUCCCUCCUGCCUAUUGGCAGUAUGAGAAUACCUUGCACACAGUGCUCCCUAAGGCAUAAUGAAGCAGGAAGGAAGAAUAAAAAGAAGGAACAGAAGACACCUUUUAGUCUUACUCAUCACAAGUACUACCAAUAACAGGAGCAGGUGCAAAGGUUUCUGACAGCAAUGUGUUUUUCAGAUUUGAAGUGGCUGCACUUCAGAAGAUGUGGGAACUUUUCAAAUCUGAACUCACGAAGAGCCUGUAAAAUUGUAUUCCCAGAGGUUUGUUCCGUUCCCACCACCAGUUCCCACACACUAAGCUACAGUAAUACUAUAGCAGAACUGCAGAAGUAGCUGGGAUUUUCUUACAAUUAUCAAUUGCAUUAAGCAUGCCUGUUACUUCUUUAGCGUAUGAUUAGAUUUUCCAAAUUAUGCAAUCACUAUCAGUACAACAAAACAGUGAUGCUGAGAAGGGAUCAAGCAUUUCUCAUUCAGCUACCUAUUCUGCCUUAAACUGUCUUGAAGUCCUACUGGUAUGAAUGGUGUUUCAUGCAGUAAUACAUGGUCUAAACACUGCGUUCAUAAAUCUGGGGAGUAGAACCCCACAGAGUCGUGAUUAAAUUUGUUAAAUUGGGGCAUCAACAUGUUAGAUUGAUGGUGUUUUAGAAGAGUCACAUGCUCAGCAUUUAAAUGACCAUUCUGUUUCUUCAGCUGGAUGCAGUUCCAGGACACUAUUUGAAAAAGAAUGGGAAUUGUUUUUCUAGGAGUUACAGCCAAAGUUUUGUUGAGCUGUUUCAAAGCCAUCAUCAACAAUUCUUUCUGAAACUGUUGUGUACCUGCUAUUGUUAAAAGAAACGCCCAUAUUUACUGUGACUGAAAGGCCUUAGAAAUAAAUAAACAUUUUUUCAGUUGGCUGCCUUUGAGCACCCAGCACAGUGUUUAGUCAGCAGUAUUGCUCAUCUGUUGACAGUCACGUUUUGUUUCCACCUGUGUUCAAAGCAAAGCAUUUCCCCAGUCUUCUGCCAUUUUUGAGGGCUAUAAAACUAAUCAUGAGCCUAAUGUGCUAUUAAAAUCUUAUUCACCUUAAAUUCAGACCCAGUUCCCACUCUACCAAACACAUACUUCUGCACCCUUCUGAGAGUAAAGACUCUACCAGUGACUAGAAUUGAUGUGCUGGUUCUGCAGAUCAACUAGUGUGGUACCUG